AGACAUCACGAACUAUCGUUGCCUAUGACCAAUUAUCAAAUCACAUCUCAGAGUUCUGACCGAUGGAAUACAUAAUUUACAUAAAACACAUCACUACGUAAUUCAAUUUGAAAGAUCUGCAUCACAUAUUUCUGAUCCGUUGCUUCCAAAGAUCCACAUUAUACUUUUAGAACAACAUCCUACAGUUUCAUUAAGAUCCAACGGUCAGAUCUCCGCCAAUUGCCAAAACCAAAUGGUGGUCAACAUUUUAUUUUAUGAACUUAUAAAUCCAAUUCGGAAAGAUCCGUACAUCAAAUUCCCGAUCCAUAAGUUUUUAUGGUCCUCAAAUAUUACGUACUAAUGUAUCAAAGUUUGGUGACGAUCGAACGGACGAAUCAUCGAUUCAUAUAAAUGCCAAGCGAUGUAUCAUAAUGAAACUAAGUUCAAACAAUCAAACCACAUCAUAUGGAUAUCAAUUAUGACAUACAUCUAAUUGAACUUAAAAGGACAUCGUCGGUCCACUGGCUAGGCCGUCGCCGCACGUGCCGCCGCGCGUGGUGGUUGGCCACCACGGUUCGCCGGAAAAUUCCACUAUUUCUAAAAAUUCUCAAAUUUUACAGAAAUGAAGAUCUUAAGAGAUGAACAACUUUCAUACCUACCACGAAGUCCAAAAGUGGACGGAAGAUGGUCAAUUUUUCCCACAAAGCCGGCGGUGCCUAAAACUUCUCGGCGUUGAUUCCUCGUCUACGGUGGACCAACGGGGUCAAGGUUGGUUGGGAUUUGCUCCUGGGAUGAUGGGCUACAAAGCCCAAGUGGUGGCAUAGGCCAUCGCUUUGCUGAUUUGUCAAAAAAUUGAAAAGAGUGGCCAGACACGGUUUUGAUGGGUCGGAUUUUGUGGCUUCGCCCCGCCACAUGUGGUGGUUUCUAAAGGUGGUUCUUGGGUGGGUUUUGUAGAGGGGAAUGAGAGCUUCAAGAUGGUCAUGGUGGGGUCAAAAAACUCCAACGGAGUUUGCCGGAAUCUGCCUUGGAAGAUGGGUGGUCGUAAUGGGUGUGGGUGUGGGUGCACAGAAAGCUGGGAGCUUUCCCUUUUUGGUUUUCCUUCUUUUCCUAAUUUCUGAUUGGGCUGUUGCCCUCUCCCUCUCUCUAAUUGGAUCAUUGUCCCUUUAAUUUAAUUGGUCCACUAUUCUCACCUGGUGGGAGUUCAAAAUUAACUAACAAGUAACCAAUUUCAAAUAUCCAUAACGAUACCGUUAUAAUCCGGACUCGCAAACGGCGACUACGCAAAUACGCCAAAAGAAUAAGUCAUACUUUUUUCUAGACGAUGGUCAACAUAAAUCAAAAUCAUUGCCUCUAAACAUUUUUGUCAAUUCCCUCGAUUAAAAUAAAUAAAAACGAAAUUUUAGGGACGGAUUGUCACAACAA
rnacentral:lncRNA from 1 species